rnacentral:rRNA from 1 species
ACUAUUGUCACGGGUUACCGCGGCUGCUGGCACGGAGUUAGCCGGUGCUUCUUCUGUGAGUGAUGUCCUUCCUGCCGGUUAUUGACCCGCAGGCCUUCUUCCUCACUGAAAGUGCUUUACAACCCGAAGGCCUUCUUCACACACGCGGCAUGGCUGGAUCAGGGUUGCCCCCAUUGUCCAAUAUUCCCCACUGCUGCCUCCCGUAGGAGUCUGGGCCGUGUCUCAGUCCCAGUGUGGCUGAUCAUCCUCUCAGACCAGCUACGGAUCGUCGCCUUGGUGAGCCGUUACCUCACCAACCAGCUAAUCCGACAUAGGCUCAUCCGAUAGCGCGAGGCCCGAAGGUCCCCCGGCUUUCCCCCGUAGGGCGUAUGCGGUAUUAGCCCUGGGUUUCCCCAGGUUAUCCCCCACUACCGGGCAGAUUCCCUAUGCAUUAACUCACCCGUCCGCCGCUCGCCACCAGGGAGCAAGCUCCCCGUGCUGCCCGCUCGACUUGCAUGUGUUAGGCCCUGCCGCCCAGCGUUCAAUCUGAA